rnacentral:lncRNA from 1 species
UGCGAUAAUAAAUCAGACACGAGACUCCAUUUCCAUUACACACAAAACGCCCAAGCAUUAAGUAUUAACAGGAAGAAAAAACGACAAAAAAAUAUUGCGUUUUACCAGAGAAUUGAAAGAAGAAGAAGAAGUAGGCUUCCGUUGAUUGAAUCUGAAGCUUUGCAAAGGCAAAGCGGAUGAUCUGAAAUAUUAACCAAAAAAAUUAAAAAAUGAAAACGAAUUAAAGGAGAAUGAAAAUAAAAAUUAAAAGAAGAAGAAGAAAAAGAGGACCUUGGAAGAUUCUGUAGACAGUUCAUUGAUUGAAGAAGAAAGGAAAAUAUCAGAACAAAUCGUUAAGCAGACAAGUGUGCGUGUGUGUAGUAAGUGUUGCAUUUCCAAUUGCGGGCAAUUUAUAGAGGUUGGCUGGGAAUCGACAAAAAGGUUAUCAGCUUUUGACAGAUUCCACAAAAUGCCAUUGCAAUUCGUUGGUUCAGUAUCUCUUUUUCGUUCGUUGGUGAUCCAUCACCGGGCCCGUUUGAUUUUUUUUUUUCGUUUUCCCCAAAAUGCCUAAGCCUUCAAUUCUUUUUUCUAGCUCGUUCGUGAUAUUUUUUUAUUUAUUUUAAUCACCUUAAUCAGUUCAUGCUUACUUUCCUCUUGCUUGAUUGCGGGGUAGAGUGGGAGAAUAGCUACGAAGGCAAGGCAAAAUUGGAGAAAUAUUUUUUGAAUGGAUCGAUGCGCCGGGGCCAAGGCAGAGCUAGUAAACACUGAACUGGGAGGAAUCCAUAUUACUCACUCUCACUCUAGAAAGUAAACACAACAUUAAUGAUUAAAAUAAACAUGAGUUUAAAUUGUCUUUUAUUUAUAUAUUAGAGCUUAUAGAAAAGUAAGAUAUAAUUAUUCUUUUCUUAAAAUAUUAAGGUUAUAAUAUGAACAUUUAAAAAGAUACAGCAACUUAUUUAAUAAGUUGCUUAUAAAAAUAAUGUCUGUUCUGUUUUUAGAAGUUACAGUCAAAAUAGAGAAAAUUAUUAUAAAAAAACAACUUUUAACAAAGCCAUCAAACUUCAUUUUUAUCUAAACUUAUAAAAUAAGCUGCUUAUAGCAUUUCAAUCACAAUCUUGGGGCAUUAGUCUUUGUGUAGAAUCAAAUUAGACAUUGAAUAUUUCUAAUUUUCUACACAUAAAUUAAAAUAUGUAGACUAGAAAAACACCUUGAUUUUGUAAGUCUACUUCAUUCUUUAAUUUCCGCAGCAUAUGUCAAGACGUUAUUUCCAAAUAAUUGCCGACUAGGAGAAUUCUUAUAGUCAAGGUGAUUAGAUGAGCGUGUUAUGGAAUCGUAGUGGUUCCCCGCCCUCAACUAAGAAAGUAGCCUUCAAAAUUAAAUAUUAAAUAAUGUGGCAUUAUUAAUGUUAUAUAUAUGUGUGUGUGUGUAUUUGUAUAUAUAAUAUUAUUAAAUAUUAUAUAUAUACAUAUAUAUAUUAGUCUUCAUGUUUUGCACGGGUUUGAACGGCAGUUGUAAUAUUAAAUAAUAUGGCAUUAUUGAAGUUAAAAAAAAUCCAAAGUUAAUCAUAAAAAUAUUUUUUUUAUAAAAAAAUAAAUAAAGAUUAAAAUGGAUGUUAGGUAGCCCGUGAGUUUCCAUAGUUAGUAUGUUACAACUUUCAAAAUUGAGCACGGCUUUGAAAUGUUGAGCUCAUAGGGGGCGACAUUAAUUGUGCACGGCUGACUUUGUGGACUUUGUGAAAGAGAGUUAUGGGCGUGAUUGUGAUUGUGUUUGUGUGUGGUCAAAAGCUGCAAGGGGUUGUCGAGAUUUUCCGAAUUUUUGCAGGUGGGUUGGGCCGAAGCAGGCUGUCUUGGCUGACUUUCGGUACAUGCCGUUUGUGUACCAAAACGUGUGCGAUCAAGGGGCUGUUCAGAAGCUUCAUCUCGACCAUGAACGGUGGUUGCAAAGUUAACAGCCGAGAGUUGUUUUUGAGCUUGUACAGGUUAUAUCUCCAUGAUUGAAUUCAUCUAGAGAAGACCUUGACUCACACCAUUUGAAAACGCGUAUUGGAAAUUAACACCGGGAGGUUGCAAAACAAUUAAUUCUUAUAUAAACGCUUUGCUAAGAAUCAAAUUUAGCUCAAUCAACUGAAAACCACCAUAAACAUGGCAUCAGCGUCCUCUGUUUCGAGACUGGUGGUCAUUAUAAUUUUAAUUAAUGUUGGUGCUAUAAGUGAUACGAUGAUAUCUGUAACAGCAUCGGCUCCUGGAUUAUUGACGUCACCCAUAGAGUUAGAAAGAGAAGCUUUACUUGGCACAGGCUGGUGGGUCAACAAUUGGGCGACGGGCAACUACACUUCCUAUCAUUGUAAGUGGACUGGCAUCAGUUGCAAUUCAGCGGGAAGCGUAACCGGGGUCAGCUUACUCCGGUAUGAAAAUAAUAACAUCAAAGGAGAGCUUGGUCGUUUCAACUUCUCUUGCUUUCCCAACCUCAAAAGUUUCAAAAUUCAUUCAAAUUAUCUUCUCUCUGGGAGCAUUCCAUCUGAAAUUGCUGCCGUUUCAAUGCUCCAAACUCUUGAACUGCCCUCCAACAAUCUUACCGGUAAAUACUUGAGCUUGACUCUCUCUCUCUCUCUCUCUAUGUAAUUUUGUAUUUUUUUUGUUGCUAUGAGGAUAGUGAAUACUGAUCUCGUUUUUCAUAAAUCACAUGCACAAUAGGAAUUAUCCCUUUACAGAUGGGGAGAUUGAGGAAUCUUGUCUACCUGGAUCUAUUUGAUAAUCACCUCAUGGGACAUAUCCCUCCAACUCUUGGUCGUCUAAGCAAAUUGAAAAUUUUGAACUUGUCUUCUAACUCCCUUGUUGGUAAUAUCCCCUCCACUCUAGAUCAUCUAACCCAACUAACUACUUUGACGAUUGCCUCAAACCAAAUUAAUGGUUCCAUCCCAUUAGAAAUCGGGAAUUUGAACUUUCUUCAAGUUCUUGACCUGUCUACAAACGGACUUCAAGGUACAAUAUGUAUGUAUGUAUGUAUGUAUGUAUGUAUGUAUGUAUGUAUGUAUGUAUGUAUGUAUGUAUGUAUGUAUGUAUGUAUGUAUGUAUGUAUGUAUGUAUGUAUGUAUGUAUGUAUGUAUGUAUGUAUGUAUGUAUGUAUGUAUGUAUGUAUGUAUGUAUGUAUGUAUGUAUGUAUGUAUGUAUGUAUGUAUGUAUGUAUGUAUGUAUGUAUGUAUGUAUGUAUGUAUGUAUGUAUGUAUGUAUGUAUGUAUGUAUGUAUGUAUGUAUGUAUGUAUGUAUGUAUGUAUGUAUGUAUGUAUGUAUGUAUGUAUGUAUGUAUGUAUGUAUGUAUGUAUGUAUGUAUGUAUGUAGUCGUGCUCAUGCUUGAAGCAGGCGUCUGUUUUUACAAUACUGAAGAAGUUUUUUUAUGAGUACUUCUUUAUAAAUUUUAUUUAUAUGAGUAUAGUGAAUACUGAUGUCGUUUUUCAUAAAUCACAUGCGCAAUAGGAAUUAUUCCUUCAGAGAUGGGGAGAUUGAGGAAUCUUGUCCAUCUGGAUCUAUCUAAUAAUUACAUCUGGGGAUAUAUCCCUCCAACUCUUGGUCAUCUAAGCAAAUUGGAAAAUUUGAACUUGUCUUCUAACGGCCUUGAUGGUAAUAUCUCUCCAACUCUUGGUCGUCUAAGCACAUUUUUUACAUUUUUAUUGUGUGAAAGUGAAACUAUAUAAUAAAUUUCUACAUCUUUAUUUAUUACUUCGGUAGUGUUUUAAUUUGGAGAAUAUGCUGGUUGGCUUUUUUUCCUUUAAUUUUUGUAUGAAAUGAAUCGGCUUCAAGUGUCAGUUUCUUUUCCAAAUUGCAUCCAUCAAUUGCAUAUGUAUGUAUGUAUGUAUGUAUGUAUGUAUGUAUGUAUGUAUGUAUGUAUGUAUGUAUGUAUGUAUGUAUGUAUGUAUGUAUGUAUGUAUGUAUGUAUGUAUGUAUGUAUGUAUGUAUGUAUGUAUGUAUGUAUGUAUGUAUGUAUGUAUGUAUGUAUGUAUGUAUGUAUGUAUGUAUGUAUGUAUGUAUGUAUGUAUGUAUGUAUGUAUGUAUGUAUGUAUGUAUGUAUGUAUGUAUGUAUGUAUGUAUGUAUGUAUGUAUGUAUGUAUGUAUGUAUGUAUGUAUGUAUGUAUGUAUGUAUGUAUGUAUGUAUGUAUGUAUGUAUGUAUGUAUGUAUGUAUGUAUGUAUGUAGUCGUGCUCAUGCUUGAAGCAGGCGUCUGUUUUUACAACACUGAAGAAGUUUUUUUUUACGAGGAUUGCUUUAUAAAUUUUAUUUGCUAUGAGGAUAGUGAAUACUGAUCUCGUUUUUCAUAAAUCACAUGCGCAACAGGAAUUAUUCCUUCAGAGAUGGGGAGAUUGAGGAAUCUUGUCCAUCUGGAUCUAUCUAAUAAUUACAUCUGGGGAUAUAUCCCUCCAACUCUUGGUCAUCUAAGCAAAUUGGAAAAUUUGAACUUGUCUUCUAACGGCCUUGAUGGUAAUAUCUCUCCAACUCUUGGUCGUCUAAGCACAUUUUUUACAUUUUUAUUGUGUGAAAGUGAAACUAUAUAAUAAAUUUCUACAUCUUUAUUUAUUACUUCGGUAGUGUUUUAAUUUGGAGAAUAUGCUGGUUGGCUUUUUUUCCUUUAAUUUUUGUAUGAAAUGAAUCGGCUUCAAGUGUCAGUUUCUUUUCCAAAUUGCAUCCAUCAAUUGCAAUUGUUACAUUGGGCGAUUACAAGUUGUACGUAAUUAUUAAGGAAGGCAGGUUUAAGCAUUUUUGGUUUGUAUGUUUUCCUCCUUUUUUUUCCCUUUUGCAUUAAAAAUCAUGGUUAUCCUAUAAAAGAUAUGAUUACAAAUCAAAAGCACUAUUUCUAAUUUCACACAUACAUAGUUCCUCAUUAAUUUACUAAAUUUACUUUUGUAUUUAUAGGAUAGGGUAGUCAAUUGAGAGCACUGAGAGUGAUUCUCUCUAAUCUCCAUAGUUUUGUAUUAAUUUAUUGAUAUAUUUGUUGCAUCUGCAGAUUUAACUUUCAGUCUAAAAUUUGCAGCGUUGACGAGCCCCAAAAAAAAUAAGAAAAAAAAAUUAUUGGAGCACUAAAAAAUCUAUUAAUUUUUACAACCUAAGCACUUCUUUAUAAAUUUUAUUUCUAUGAGGAUAGUGAAUACUGAUCUCGUUUUUCAUAAAUCACAUGCGCAACAGGAAUUAUCCCUUCAGAGAUGGGGAGAUGGAGGAAUCUCGUUCACCUGGAUCUAUCUGAUAAUUUCCUCUGGGGAUAUAUCCCUCCAACUCUUGGUCGUCUAAGCAAAUUGGAAAAUUUGCACUUGUCUUCCAACUCCCUUGUUGGUAAUAUCCCCUCCACUAUAGGUCAUCUAACACAGCUAACUACUUUGGCUAUUGCCUCAAACCACAUUAAUGUUUCCAUCCCAUUAGAAAUCGGGAAUUUGAACUUUCUUCAAGUUCUUGACCUGUCCCGAAAUGAAAUUGGAGGUUCAAUUCCUUCAACACUUGGCCAUUUAAAGAGGUUGAGAAGUUUAGACUUGUCCUACAACAAACAUGUUGGUCCAAUCCCUUCGUCUGUGGGUCAUUUGACUCAGCUAACUACUUUUUAUAUGCACUCAAACCUAAUCAAUGGUUCCAUUCCAUUAGAAAUCGGGAAUUUGAACUUUCUUCAAGUUCUUGACCUGUUUGACAACAAACUUGAAGGUCCAAUUCCUUCGACCAUAGCUAGUUUAGUCAACUUGACAUCUCUGUCCUUGGAUUAUAACAAUCUAACUGGAUCUAUUCCUUCAACACUUGGUCGUUUAAAUAGGUUGACAAAUUUAGGAUUGUCCGAAAACAAACUUGUUGGUCCAAUCCCUUCGUCCCUGGGUCAUUUGACUCAGCUAACUACUUUAAGUAUGGACAACAACAAACUUGAUGGCCCAAUUCCUCAAGAACUCAUGAAUUGCUCAAAGCUGCGGAUAUUAACAUUGGGAAACAACUUCAUAAGCGGAAGCAUCCCGUCAGAGAUUGGCAAACUUAAAGAACUAUAUUAUCUUGAUCUGAACCAUAACUUCAUUAAUGGUAAAAUACCUCCCCAGCUUGGAGAAAUUCCACGCAUAGUUACCGUGGACCUUUCCAUGAAUAACCUCUCUGGUAGUAUCCCUGAAUCUGUCAUAAAUGUGCCAGACUUAGAUGUGUCAGGCAACAAUUUUGAGGUAGAAAUCCCAAAUACUUCGGCAAAUGCGCCAUCGCCACAACAGUCUGAAGGCAAUAAAGACAAGCACAAAAAGACUACCACUCGAUUGGUUGCAAUUAUUCUUCCUAUGGCCGUAUUCCUUACCUUAAUAUUUGGAAUCAUGUUUGUCCGUAGACGAAGGGAUAAGAGAGUUGAACCAGCUGAGACAGGAGAAAUUACCAAGUGCGCUGAUGAGUUUGCAAUUUGGAAUUACGAUGGUAGAAUUACAUUUCAAGACAUGAUUGAAGCUACUGAGGAUUUCCAUAUCAAAUACUGCAUUGGAACAGGAGGCUAUGGUAGCGUUUACCGAGCACGACUGCCCAGUGGAAAAGUAGUUGCUUUGAAGAAGCUUCACCGUUCAGAAACUGAGGAGUUAGCUUCCCUCGAGAGUUUUCGGAAUGAGGCUCGUCUACUGUCUCAAAUACGGCAUCGAAAUAUCGUAAAGCUUUACGGGUUUUGUUUGCACAGGAAAUGUAUGUUCUUAAUCUAUGAGUACAUAGAAAUGGGAAGCUUGUUCUGUGUUCUACGCAUAGAUGAGGAAGCUAUUGGUUUGGAUUGGGCUAAAAGGGUGAACAUUGUGAAGGGCAUGGCUCAUGCUUUGUCAUAUUUGCAUCAUCACUGCACACCACCAAUUGUUCACCGGGACAUAUCAAGCAACAACAUUCUACUCAACUCAGAAUUAGAAGCAUUUGUUGCUGACUUUGGCGUUGCUAGAUUGUUAAAUUUUGACUCAUCCAAUCGAACUCUAUUGGCUGGCACUUAUGGAUAUAUUGCUCCAGGUAAUCUUCUAGCCAUUCUUCUUCUGCUUCUUUAAUUAUUCUUUUAAUUAAUUUCUAUAUACACUUUGUUAAGUAAUUUUUAAUCAGUUUUAUUUAGUUAGCUACUUAGGUUCGAAUUUUGGAAUAGGUAAGGAGCUGAAAGAUAAAUUUAAACUUUGUCUACCCAUUUAAUUUUUUUUUUUUAAAAAAAAAUUACACAGUUUAAAUAUCAGGCACUAGAAGUACUAAUGGGAAAGCAUCCUGGAGAGCUCCUCUCAUCGUUAUCUUCGUCAUUAGAUAAAAAUAUUAAGCUGAUUGAUUUGCUGGACCCACGCCUCUCACCUCCGGUGGAUCAAAAGAUUAGGCAGGAUAUCAUUCUUGUUUCAACAGUAGCAUUUUCAUGCUUGCGUUCUCAACCAAAGUCUCGACCUACAAUGCAACUCGUGUCCAACGACUUCAUCGCUCGCAAUAAGGCACCGAUGCAGAAACCUUUUCAUGAAAUUUCAAUUUUGGAGCUUAGAAACCAAGAAAUGUAUUUGGUUGAUUAAUGUGAUAUGUAAUUAUAGAUACGUAUAUUUGACUGUUCAUGUAUGUGAUGGGAUUGCUUCUAAUCCUAAUGGAAUUUUCCCAUAAAGGUGACUGUUAAUUGGUUCUGAAAUUAUUAAGUAGUAGCAAUGUAGCAAAUAUUAUGUGUUCGACGAAUUGUCUCCCUUAGUAUUAUUAAUUCUAUUUACACGUUCACUUCCUAUACAUGUUGAAUUGCAAUUAAACGAAUGUGCAAACUACGACAUUAAUCUCUCUGGUAUUAUUAAUAAGGUCUGUCUAAUUGUCACCCUCUCAAUGAGCUGAUUUAACCAGCAUAUUAAGGAAUUUAAGGUUGUAUCUCUAUAAGUUAAAAGGGUAAAUUGUCAUUUUAAUUAUUAGUUUAUUUUAAAAAUUAUAUAUAUAAACUUUCUCCAGAGCGAGGUUCUUGGUGUCGCGUUAUUUAAUAUAUUAGUUUCUUCACUCCUUUGUAAAUAUUCACACAAACAUAUACAAUAAAUUUUUAAUUAGGUUCUUGAUGUCGCGUUAUCUUGACCACCCUCCACUUUCUGGUCUAAACCAACAGCAGUUUUAUUAGAUAUACUGAUUCAUUUUCUACAGUAGCCUUAAUUUCUUGGCCAGCAUUAUCUCCGCUUUCAGUAGAGUCUUUUGAAGAGGAGUUACUGCACAUCUUCUGAUCUCCAAGUAAUUCUUCUUCCUUGGCCUUAUGCUUCUUGCGGAGUUACUGCACAUCUUCUGAUCUCCAAGUGCACAUCUUCUGAUCUCCAAGUAAUUCUUCUUCCUUGGCCUUAUGCUUCUUGCCUUGAAGAUGCUCAUAUAGCUCUCUCAUGCGAGUAGUACUGACCUGACAGAGGGCACAACUCCAAUCCAUGGGUUUCCUUGAACUCGUCAAAGGGAGCUCACCAGAACCUGCAGGUAGUGUGGCAGCUUCCUGCUUUGGUCCACAAAGAUUGGGAUAGGGCUUAACCUGCAGGGCUUGACAACACUCCUCUUUCUGGUCCAAACCAACAACAAUUCUAUUAGCUUUAACUGAUUCCUCUUCUACUUUAGUCUUCAUUUCUUGGCCAGCACUAUCUCUGCUUUCUGUAGAUUUUUUUAUCCACUUCUGAGCUCCAAGUAGUUCUUCUUCCUUGGCUUUCUGCUUCUUACCAUGAGGAUCCUCAUCUAGACCACCCUCCACUUUCUGGUUCAAACCAACAACAGUUUUAUUAGCUUUACCUGAUUCCUCUUCUACUUUAGUCUUCAUUUCUUGGCCAGCACUAUCUCUGCUUUCUGUAGAUUUUUUUAUCCACUUCUGAGCUCCAAGUAGUUCUUCUUCCUUGGCUUUCUGCUUCUUACCUUGAGGAUUCUCAUCUAGACCACCCUCCAAUUUCUGGUUCAAACCAACAACAGUUUUAUUAGCUUUAACUGAUUCCUCUUCUACUUUAGUCUUCAUUUCUUGGCCAGCACUAUCUCUGCUUUCUGUAGAUUUUUUUAUCCACUUCUGAGCUCCAAGUAGUUCUUCUUCCUUGGCUUUCUGCUUCUUACCUUGAGGAUUCUCAUCUAGACCACCCUCCAAUUUCUGGUUCAAACCAACAACAGUUUUAUUAGCUUUAACUGAUUCCUCUUCUACUUUAGUCUUCAUUUCUUGGCCAGCACUAUCUCUGCUUUCUGUAGAUUUUUUUAUCCACUUCUGAGCUCCAAGUAGUUCUUCUUCCUUGGCUUUCUGCUUCUUACCUUGAGGAUUCUCAUCUAGACCACCCUCCAAUUUCUGGUUCAAACCAACAACAGUUUUAUUAGCUUUAACUGAUUCCUCUUCUACUUUAGUCUUCAUUUCUUGGCCAGCACUAUCUCUGCUUUCUGUAGAUUUUUUUAUCCACUUCUGAGCUCCAAGUAGUUCUUCUUCCUUGGCUUUCUGCUUCUUACCUUGAGGAUGCUCAUCUAGACCACCCUCCACUUUCUGGUUCAAACCAACAACAGUUUUAUUAGCUUUAACUGGUUCCUCUUGUACUUUAGUCUUCAGUUCUUGGCCAACACCAUCUCUGCUUUCUGUAGAUAUUUUUGACGUGGAUGAAGUGGAGUUAUUGCACAUUUUCUUAUCUCUAAGUAGUCCUGCCACCUUGGCCUUGUGCUUCCUACCUUGAAGAUGCUCAUCCAGACCUCUCUGGGUCGUAGCACUGACCUGACAGAGGGCACAACUCCACUGCUCAGUUUUGGUUGAAUUUGUCGAAGGGAGCUCUCCUGAACCUGCAGGUGGUGCAGCAGCAUUCUGAUUUGUUCCACAAAGAUUGGAACUGGGUUUAACCUGCAGGGUUUGACCACCCUCCACUUUCUGGUCUAAACCAACAACAGUUUUUUUGGCACCAACUGAUUCCUCUUCUAAAUUAGGCUUCAUUUCUUGGUGCACUAUUUCUGCUUUCCAUAGAUUUUUUUGAAGUGCAGCUAAUGCACAUCUUCAAAUCUCUAAGUAGUUUUUCCUUGGCCUUGUGCUUCUUGCCUUGGAGAUGCACGUCUAGACCUCUCUCGGUAGUAGCAGUGACCUGACAAAGGGCACAACUCCACUCCUUGGGUUUGCUUGAACUCGUUGAAGGAAGCUCUCCAGAACCUGCAGGUGGUGUGGCAGCUUUCUGCUUUGAUCCACAAACACUAGUAUCAGGCUUAGGCUGGAAAUGAUACCCAAACACAGAAACAACAAUGCCUUAUAUUAGUUAUCACAUCAAUGGUAAAAAUGAAAAGUAUUUCCAGUGAGCUCCAUCAUCUGCUGUUGUAGUACAGAUGAAAGAAUUUGUUUACAAAAUGAUAACGUGCAAAUUUUAUUUUAAAUUGUGAAUUCUCAAAAAAGGUAGGAAUGUAGAAGUAUAGUCAAAUAGUUAAUACAACCAGAAUCCUUGUUUAUUAACAACAUUUCCAGCAUUGAACUAGGAAAAUAUCUCCAUCCCAAAAAAGAAAAAAAAAAGGAAUAUGUUUGAAUAGGAUUAUGAAAUACUUUCUUAAUAAGUUGGACAAGGAGAGAUGAUAUCUUAUGAGCAUUAUAAUUCAUAAUUUGAGGAAAAACCAUUUUAAUGGAGCUUCCAGCCCAACGCACAUACACAAACACAAUCAAUAAGAUUUAACAUAAGAGAUUACCGGGAAAAGAAACAUCACAAAUCAAUCUGUACAAGUUCAUGUGACACUUCAUGGUAAACAUAUGUAACCUCUCUUGGAAACUUAGCUUGUGACAAGCUCACAUUUUCUCUGUGUUUUCGUUCAAAAAAGGUUUCAGACACACAUUAAUUCCAGGCUGUGGAGGACCACAUGUCCUCAUUGCUCAAAUUUUUAAAGCCACAUACAUUGGCAUUUGCACGCAUGGUCAAUGAGUUACACAACUCUGUUGUCUACUUGAGUUGACUAAGCAAACUGAAUUUGUGAACUUUGACUGACAUAAAUAACCCAAUGCUAACAUGUUUGGAAUUAAAUCAAGAUUGUUAGUCCAAAUGUACUCCCCGACAAACUUGUCACCUGUGCAUCAAGACAAAGUCUUAUAGCACUAAGAAUGGACAUGUGAAUCUCUAAGCAACAACCUCCUAAACAUAAAAAUCAAGGUUGGUGUGGGAUAAAGCCAUUCAAAUGGACAUGUAAAGGGAAACUUUGAUGAAUAAGGGUUUAAGAGAAACAAUCUUAUCACAGAGUAUUUCAAUUGGAGCGGAUAAAGAAACUAACAUGAAACAAACUCACUUAUCUCUAUUUAUUUUUCAAUUAUCAUAGAUCCAAAAUCUAAAAUUAUCAUUUUGAGCUACCCUCAAUUAGUAAGCACUGCAUUGUCACUGCUUUCUUCUGAAAUUUUCCAUCAACAGAAAAUCUCUAACAAAUCAAAACAAGACUUACCAAGUUUCAUAAGUAUCAAAACAAAAACGAGCAAAGGUCCACAGGGAAGUUCUAGAAUGAAACAUUAAAACGUUUAGUUCAUGCUUCAAUCAUAUAAUACAAUAUACAAACAUCAUUUAAUCAAGUUUCAGAUAAAUUUUGCAAAUCCACAAUAAUAGGCAUGCCUUUAACAUGGAAAGCAUCCCUUACCACUUAAGGGUCUCCACAACUGCCUUACUAUCAAAAUUAGAGCAUAGUGUGAGUUAAAUUACCAGCACCCAUAGCCUCUGUCAUAUUAGUACUAUAGAUCUCGGAUUUUUCCUCCUUAACUUCAGAGCUAUCAGAUGUCUCCUUACUAGAGGUGGAACCAGUAAUUGCCUGUAAAUAAAUUUCAUCAGCAAAUUUGCACAAGUGAAUGUUCAUGUAUAAUCAAGUAACAGUUCCACAUAAAAAUCAAACAACAAACUGAAUCAACAUGGACUCGAUAAAACUAAUGGCAUAAUCAGACUACCAAUUAUCAGUUGAAGUUAAUUUUUAUACUCCCGCAUUUAGCUCCUCGACAAUAUGUACAUUAAAACCAGUAAAUAAAUAGAACAGAAUAAAGAAGAAUAUUCCAUAUUAUGAAAUAUCUGAAGCUGCUGUACCGUACAUCCGCCUUGGCCGUGCAGCAGUUUCAAUUAGUGUUUUGGUCCUCCUCAAAAUUGCAGUAUCUCAGGAGCCGAUUGAAAUGACCUAGACCAUGAGCUUCAAAACUUCCAUCUCCCCUCCGGUCCUUAAGAGAGUAUAUAUUCAGUUAAAAAGAGAAGAAUAUAAUUCCAUAUGUCAUCAACUCUGCUGUUAGAAAGAAAGCUUUCACUAUCUCCAAUGAACCAUUUCAUCUUCCCACUUGAAAAUCAAUAAAAAAUAUUGCGUUUUACCAGAGAAUUGAAAGAAGAAGAAGCAGUAGGCUUCCGUUGAUUGAAUCUGAAGCUUUGCAAAGGCAAAGCGGAGGAUCUGAAAUAUUAACCAAAAAAAUUAAAAAAUGAAAACGAAUUAAAGGAGAUUUAAAAUAAAAAUUAAAAAAAGAAGAAGAAA